AUUAAUCAUUUUAUAUGUUUAAAAGUAAUGUUAUUACAUUAAAAUCAGUUAAUUAGUGUGUUUAAUACAGUUCAUAAUGGAUUAAAUAAUGCUAUAGGUGGAUAAACGGACUGUUACAAAGAGUUUGGUUAGCUAGUUAAGUAAACUAGCUUCAGGUAACGUUAGCUUGUUGGCAUGAUUCUGUCUCACAACCAGAAAAACAUACUUGAAUGUGGUUUAGGGUGGGUGACAUGGAUAUAAUUGACAGUAUUCUUCACUUUUUCGAACCGUACUGCACACAGCACUGGACCCUGAGCAGUGCAUGGCCUGCAAGAUCAUGAGAAGGCUGAAGAACCAGGAGUGACAAGAUACCACUGGAUGGUGGGGCACAUAAUUCCACUCAAGGACAGUGAUCUGAAAAUGUCUGUUUACCAACGGUCCCCAUCCAACCUGACAGAGCGUGUGAGGAUCUGCAGAAAAGAAUGGCAGAACAUCCCCAAAUCCAGGGUAUUGAGUGUAGAUUGAUGAGCUCAAUAAGGAUUGGAACAACAUUGACGGGGGGAAACACCCAAAGUCCAUCACUCAUGCACCGAGGAUCUGGCUGAUUACUG